UACGGAGGGUGCAAGCGUUAUCCGGAUUUACUGGGUUUAAAGGGUGCGUAGGUGGGCCUGUAAGUCAGUGGUGAAAUCUUCAAGCUUAACUUGGAACUGCCAUUGAUACUAUAGGUCUUGAAUUAUCUGGAGGUAAGCGAAUAUGUCAUGUAGCGGUGAAAUGCUUAGAGAUGACAUAGAACACCCAUUGCGAAGCAGCUUACUACGGAUUGAUUGACACUGAGGCACGAAAGCGUGGGGAUCAAACAGGAAUUAG
rnacentral:rRNA from 1 species